rnacentral:rRNA from 1 species
AUGAACGCUGGCGGCGUGCCUAAUACAUGCAAGUCGAGCGAACGGACGAGAAGCUUGCUUCUCUGAUGUUAGCGGCGGACGGGUGAGUAACACGUGGAUAACCUACCUAUAAGACUGGGAUAACUUCGGGAAACCGGAGCUAAUACCGGAUGAUAUUUUGAACCGCAUGGUUCAAAAGUGAAAGACGGUCUUGCUGUCACUUAUAGAUGGAUCCGCGCUGCAUUAGCUAGUUGGUAAGGUAACGGCUUACCAAGGCAACGAUGCAUAGCCGACCUGAGAGGGUGAUCGGCCACACUGGAACUGAGACACGGUCCAGACUCCUACGGGAGGCAGCAGUAGGGAACCUUCCGCAAUGGGCGAAAGCCUGACGGAGCAACGCCGCGUGAGUGAUGAAGGUCUUCGGAUCGUAAAACUCUGUUAUUAGGGAAGAACAUAUGUGUAAGUAACUGUGCACAUCUUGACGGUACCUAAUCAGAAAGCCACGGCUAACUACGUG